rnacentral:misc_RNA from 1 species
UACGUAGGUGGCAAGCGUUAUCCGGAAUUAUUGGGCGUAAAGAGCUCGCAGGCGGUCUUUUAAGUCUGAUGUGAAAGCCCACGGCUCAACCGUGGAGGGUCAUUGGAAACUGGGAGACUUGAGUGCAGAAGAGGAGAGUGGAAUUCCACGUGUAGCGGUGAAAUGCGUAGAGAUGUGGAGGAACACCAGUGGCGAAGGCGACUCUCUGGACUGUUGCUGACGCUGAGGCGCGAAAGCGUGGGGAGCAAACAGG